GCUACAACUUUCAAGCAACGACGACAGGACUCCAUAUUGCACUUAAAUUUAUACCAAAGGCGAAGGAAUGUCGAACUGUGUCGUUCACGAUUCAAUGACGCAUAUGAAAUUACAGAUCGAUCAUAAAGUGAAGCUACAACUUUCAAGCAACGACGACAGGACUCCAUAUUGCACUUAAAUUUAUACCAAAGGCGAAGGAAUGUCGAACUGUGUCGUUCACGAUUCAAUGACGCAUAUGAAAUUACAGAUCGAUCAUAAAGUGAAGCUACAACUUUCAAGCAACGACGACAGGACUCCAUAUUGCACUUAAAUUUAUACCAAAGGCGAAGAUCGAUCAUAAAGUGAAGCUACAACUUUCAAGCAACGACGACAGGACUCCAUAUUGCACUUAAAUUUAUACCAAAGGCGAAGGAAUGUCGAACUGUGUCGUUCACGAUUCAAUGACGUAUAUGAAAUUACAGAUCGAUCAUAAAGUGAAGCUACAACUUUCAAGCAACGACGACAGGACUCCAUAUUGCACUUAAAUUUAUACCAAAGGCGAAGAUCGAUCAUAAAGUGAAGCUACAACUUUCAAGCAACGACGACAGGACUCCAUAUUGCA